ensembl:scaRNA small Cajal body-specific RNA 14
GUGGUUAACCCACUGUUGCUGCAAGACUGAGCAGUGUUUUGCAGUAUUUGGUACCACACAGAGUGAGUUUGGUUCCUGCCGACAGGGCCUGUCAAGUUAUUGGGUUCUCUGUGCGAUGGUUCCAUACAAA